GCGUUCGUAGCUCAACUGGAUAGAGCAACAGACUUCGGAUCUGUAGGUUAUGGGUUCAAUUCCUAUCGAGCGCACCA
rnacentral:tRNA from 1 species